rnacentral:misc_RNA from 1 species
CAUCUUUCUGCAGUUCCACCUUGCAUAAUUUGUAGACACGUUUCGAUUUUGAAAUGAUAACAGAAACUUCUUUAAACGUUUUGAAAUACGGUGCCGGAUUCGAAGAAAUAGCGCUAGGGUUUUCAUUCUGAUCGGAUUCGGAUUCCGACUCUUAACCGUGAAAGAAAGUUUUUGAAGCAAGAGAGCUGUUUUAGUUCUUGUAAAUAUGCGAGGAUUGCACGAAGGGAAAAGGGUUUCAUGGGCGUCAGAUCUUAAUCUCCGUCAGGUUAGGUUGUUUUUGUCUGAGGAUUGUCCAUCCGAAGUGGGAUUGGGUGCUCAAGAUCACCUUCAGGCAAAGGCAUCGUGGCUCUUGCAUUCAACUGGUUUGGGUUCUGACGACACUUUGCCUCCUGGAUUUGAAGUAGCUCAUCCAGAGAAUCAG